rnacentral:rRNA from 1 species
GACGAACGCUGGCGGCGUGCUUAAUACAUGCAAGUCAACUGAACUUAAGGUAGCAAUAUUUUAAGGGAGGUGGCGCACGGGUGAGUGACACGUAGGUAAUCUGCCUUUAGGUCUGACACAACCUACCGAAGGUAGGCUAAUAUCAGAUGAUGCAGCGGCUCGACAUCGAGACAGUUGUUAAACCUUCGGGGCCGUAAAGAUGAGCCUGCGUCUGAUUAGUAGUUGGCGGAGUAAUAGCCCACCAAGCCUGCGAUCAGUAGCUGGUCUGAGAGGAUGAUCAGCCACACUGGAACUGAGACACGGUCCAGACUCCUACGGGAGGCAGCAGUU